AGUGAACGCUGGCGGUAGGCCUAACACAUGCAAGUCGAACGGCAGCACGGGAGAGCUUGCUCUCUGGGUGGCGAGUGGCGGACGGGUGAGGAAUACAUCGGAAUCUACUUUUUCGUGGGGGAUAACGUAGGGAAACUUACGCUAAUACCGCAUACGACCUACGGGUGAAAGCAGGGGAUCUUCGGACCUUGCGCGAUUGAAUGAGCCGGUGUCGGAUUAGCUAGUUGGCGGGGUAAAGGCCCACCAAGGCGACGAUCCGUAGCUGGUCUGAGAGGAGGAUCAGCCACACUGGAACUGAGACACGGUCCAGACUCCUACGGGAGGCAGCAGUGGGGAAUAUUGGACAAUGGGCGCAAGCCUGAUCCAGCCAUACCGCGUGGGUGAAGAAGGCCUUCGGGUUGUAAAGCCCUUUUGUUGGGAAAGAAAUCCAGCUGGUUAAUACCCGGUUGGGAUGACGGUACCCAAAGAAUAAGCACCGGCUAACUUCGUGCCAGCAGCCGCCGUAA
rnacentral:rRNA from 1 species